GAUGAACGCUGGCGGCGUGCCUAAUACAUGCAAGUCGAGCGAACGGACGAGAAGCUUGCUUCUCUGAUGUUAGCGGCGGACGGGUGAGUAACACGUGGAUAACCUACCUAUAAGACUGGGAUAACUUCGGGAAACCGUAGCUAAUACCGGAUAAUAUUUUGAACCGCAUGGUUCAAAAGUGAAAGACGGUCUUGCUGUCACUUAUAGAUGGAUCCGCGCUGCAUUAGCUAGUUGGUAAGGUAACGGCUUACCAAGGCAACGAUGCAUAGCCGACCUGAGAGGGUGAUCGGCCACACUGGAACUGAGACACGGUCCAGACUCCUACGGGAGGCAGCAGUAGGGAAUCUUCCGCAACGGGCGAAAGCAUGACGGAGCAACGCCGCGUGAGUGAUGAAGGUCUUCGGAUCGUAAAACUCUGUUAUUAGGGAAGAACAUAUGUGUAAGUAACUGUGCACAUCUUGACGGUACCUAAUCAGAAAGCCACGGCUAACUACGUG
rnacentral:rRNA from 1 species